rnacentral:rRNA from 1 species
CCUACGGGGGGCUGCAGUGGGGAAUAUUGGACAAUGGGGGGAACCCUGAUCCAGCCAUGCCGCGUGUGUGAAGAAGGCCCUCGGGUUGUAAAGCACUUUCAGUGAGGAAGAACGCCUGGUGGUUAAUACCCAUCAGGAAAGACAUCACUCACAGAAGAAGCCCCGGCUAACUCCGUGCCAGCAGCCGCGGUAAUACGGAGGGUGCGAGCGUUAAUCGGAAUUACUGGGCGUAAAGCGCGCGUAGGUGGCUUGAUAAGCCGGUUGUGAAAGCCCCGGGCUCAACCUGGGAACGGCAUCCGGAACUGUCAAGCUAGAGUGCAGGAGAGGAAGGUAGAAUUCCCGGUGUAGCGGUGAAAUGCGUAGAGAUCGGGAGGAAUACCAGUGGCGAAGGCGGCCUUCUGGACUGACACUGACACUGAGGUGCGAAAGCGUGGGUAGCAAACAGGAUUAGAUACCCGGGUAGUC